rnacentral:rRNA from 1 species
AUUAGUCUUUUGUGAUACAUUUUCAAUGAGUCAGGUUGUUUGGGAAUGCAGCCUAAAUUGGGAGGUAAAUCUCUCCUAAAGCUAAAUAUUUGCGAGAAACCGAUAGCGAACAAGUACCGUGAGGGAAAGAUGAAAAGAACUUUGAAAAGAGAGUUAAACAGUAUGUGAAAUUGUUAAAAGGGAACCGUUUGGAGCCAGUCUGGCUUUCCUAUAAUCAAUCUAGGCUUCGGCCUUGAUGCACUUGUAGGUUAUCGCCGGCCAACGACAAUUGGGAUCGCGAGGGAAAAAACCUUUGGAAAUGUAGCCAUUCUGCAAAGUUUGGUGUUAUAGUCCUUGGGAAAAUACCUUGUGCUCGAUUGAGGAUCGCAGUGAAUGCCUUUCGGGGCAGGAUGUGGUGAGGUAGGUUUGCUUGACCUAAGGUGACUUUCGGGUUGCUUUAGCGAUGGCUUACUCCUUGCUUCUAUCUUUAUUCGCU